UGAGCUGCAACAGAGCCUGGCCUUCAUUUUCAGCAAAUUAAGUUCAUCCCCACAGGAAUUGUGGUCUGGCUGUGGCACCAGUCCUAGCUUUACCCUUCAUAAAAGCACCGGUAAACGGAAAGAAAUGACAGUGAGACUGAAUUAUGAACUUUAAAGAGUUGAGAACAAGUCAUUGCCUGUACUGUGAGAGCUGCUUGCUUUGCUCUGGAUUAACUGUCUGCAAUAGGUCAUCGGAGUUUUCCGGACCUACACUUUGUUCACACGAGGCAGAAGCUGUGGGUCUUCUGUCACAUGUAGAAUUUGAGGUCCUUUUGAAAGC